rnacentral:tRNA from 1 species
GGGCUGUUAGCUCAGUUGGUAGAGCGUCGCAUUCGCAUUGCGAAGGUCAUCGGUUCGAAUCCGAUACAGUCCA